rnacentral:rRNA from 1 species
UACGUAGGGUGGCAAGCGUUAAUCGGAAUUACUGGGGCGUAAAGCGUGCGCAGGCGGUUGUGCAAGACCGAUGUGAAAUCCCCGGGCUUAACCUGGGAAUGGCAUUGGUGACUGCACGGCUAGAGUGUGUCAGAGGGGGGGUAGAAUUCCACGUGUAGCAGUGAAAUGCGUAGAGAUGUGGAGGAAUACCGAUGGCGAAGGCAGCCCCCUGGGAUAACACUGACGCUCAUGCACGAAAGCGUGGGGAGCAAACAGG